rnacentral:rRNA from 1 species
UACGUAGGGGGCAAGCGUUGUCCGGAAUUAUUGGGCGUAAAGAGCUCGUAGGCGGUGUGUCGCGUCGGCCGUGAAAACCUGCAGCUUAACUGUGGGCUUGCGGUCGAUACGGGCAUCACUGGAGUUCGGCAGGGGAGACUGGAAUUCCUGGUGUAGCGGUGGAAUGCGCAGAGUAUCAGGAAGAACACCGUGGCGAAGGCGGCUCGU